AGUUGAUUAAUCUAAGAAAGAUUCACACUUUGAAAGUGUGAUAUAGCCAAUGAGCUAUUAACUU
rnacentral:tRNA from 1 species